GCAGAGCACUCCGUACGGGAGGCAGCAGGUGGGGAAUAUUGCACAAUGGGCGCAAGCCUGAUGCAGCCAUGCCGCGUGUAUGAAGAAGGCCUUCGGGUUGUAAAGUACUUUCAGCAGUGAGGAAGGUGGGUAUGUUAAUAGCAUACUCAUUUGACGUUAGCUGCAGAAGAAGCACCGGCUAACUCCGUGCCAGCGGCCGCGGUAAUACGGAGGGUGCGAGCGUUAAUCGGAAUUACUGGGCGUAAAGCGCAUGCAGGUGGUUUGUUAAGUCAGAUGUGAAAGCCCGGGGCUCAACCUCGGAAUUGCAUUUGAAACUGGCAAACUAGAGUACUGUAGAGGGGGUAGAAUUUCAGGUGUAGCGGUGAAAUGCGUAGAGAUCUGAAGGAAUACCGGUGGCGAAGGCGGCCCCCUGGACAGAUACUGACACUCAGAUGCGAAAGCGUGGGGAGCAAACAGGAUUAGAUACCCUGGUAG
rnacentral:rRNA from 1 species